rnacentral:rRNA from 1 species
UACGGAGGGUGCGAGCGUUGUCCGGAAUCACUGGGCGUAAAGCGCUUGUAGGCGGCUUGUUAAGUCGCGUGUGAAAUCCCUUGGCUCAACCAAGGAAGUGCGCGCGAAACUGGCGAGCUCGAGUGCCGGAGAGGGUCGCGGAAUUCCCGGUGUAGAGGUGAAAUUCGUAGAUAUCGGGAGGAACACCAGUGGCGAAGGCGGCGACCUGGACGGACACUGACGCUGAGACGCGAAAGCGUGGGGAGCAAACAGG